rnacentral:lncRNA from 1 species
GGACAAUGGAAUUCAAGUCACCGUGGCACUUAGUCUCCAUGGUGACAAUUGUGAUUAUAAAGACGGUGGUGUUGGCUGGCUGCUUCUGAUGACUCCCCAGAGAGUAAACAAUGAAAAGGACUUACUGAAAGCCUCGUAAUACCCAACUCAGAACCAGCUUUGUUUCAGAAAACCCAGUCUCUGGAAGAAGUAUCAUUUCUACACUGGAGAGGUCACAUGAAGUUCAGAGUUUCCUAAUCUCUGGUGACACAGUCAGGAUUAGGAAUCAUGGGCUUGCUUCUACCCAAGUUCCUUGAAACCCCAGUGUAAUAGUACGAGUGUUUUAAGCAAAACCUCCCCGUCCUGACACCAUCACGAACACCUACCUGCCAGCCAUACAGGAACAAAACAGCAGCCUUCUUCCAGCACAAGACUGAGCCGUGUACUCAACCGAAUGCACACAGAGCACCCGUCUCCCCAUCUUUAAACGAACAGGUAAAAACACUUCUAGAUUCC